rnacentral:lncRNA from 1 species
AAAAUUACAACAAAAACAUACAGAGAAAACAGUAGUAAUUAAAGAGAAACGGAGACUCGCUAAAGUGGAGACACCAUUAUCCUCUCUCUCCCUCUUAUUCUUCUUACGCUACCUGAUCUCCAGGCCUGAAAAUCGAACUCUGCUCCAUGUAUAACUCACCUGACACUGCAACACAAAUAUAUAUUGACAAUUAAUUGUUUAAAUUAAUCAAGGAAGAAAAAGAAGAAAUGAAAGCAGAAAGAACUACUUACUUGUUGCAGUUAGUGGAGAGGCUGAUCUUGUAAGGAAUGUUGACGCUGCAAGCACCAGGAAGAGCCUCAGCGUUCGUAGGGAUGAUACCAGAGACGCUUGCUGCUGCUUGUUUCAAGCACUGACAUGCUUGUUGGCGGUCAGGGGUCGAUUUUGCAGCAGAGUUGAUGCUUCUCACUCCAUUGCAGCAAUUCGGCGGUGGAGCUUUGGCACCUGCUGUUCUCAGGUAGUUAAUGCAUGGAGCCAGGGCACCGCUCACUUGUCCACAUGUUAUGGCCUCUGUUAUAGGCGCAGCGACAAACAUGCAGAGAACCAAAAUGCUAAGUAACUUAAGACCUGCCAUUGUUGAU